CAUAGGUUAAUGAGGCGAACCGGGGGAACUGAAACAUCUAAGUACCCCGAGGAAAAGAAAUCAACCGAGAUUCCCCCAGUAGCGGCGAGCGAACGGGGAGGAGCCCAGAGCCUGAAUCAGUGUGUGUGUUAGUGGAAGCGUCUGGAAAGGCGCGCGAUACAGGGUGACAGCCCCGUACACAAAAAUGCACAUGCUGUGAGCUCGAUGAGUAGGGCGGGACACGUGGUAUCCUGUCUGAAUAUGGGGGGACCAUCCUCCAAGGCUAAAUACUCCUGACUGACCGAUAGUGAACCAGUACCGUGAGGGAAAGGCGAAAAGAACCCCGGCGAGGGGAGUGAAAAAGAACCUGAAACCGUGUACGUACAAGCAGUGGGAGCCUCUUAAUGGGGUGACUGCGUACCUUUUGUAUAAUGGGUCAGCGACUUAUAUUCUGUAGCAAGGUUAACCGAAUAGGGGAGCCGAAGGGAAACCGAGUCUUAACUGGGCGUUAAGUUGCAGGGUAUAGACCCGAAACCCGGUGAUCUAGCCAUGGGCAGGUUGAAGGUUGGGUAACACUAACUGGAGGACCGAACCGACUAAUGUUGAAAAAUUAGCGGAUGACUUGUGGCUGGGGGUGAAAGGCCAAUCAAACCGGGAGAUAGCUGGUUCUCCCCGAAAGCUAUUUAGGUAGCGCCUCGUGAAUUCAUCUCCGGGGGUAGAGCACUGUUUCGGCAAGGGGGUCAUCCCGACUUACCAACCCGAUGCAAACUGCGAAUACCGGAGAAUGUUAUCACGGGAGACACACGGCGGGUGCUAACGUCCGUCGUGAAGAGGGAAACAACCCAGACCGCCAGCUAAGGUCCCAAAGUCAUGGUUAAGUGGGAAACGAUGUGGGAAGGCCCAGACAGCCAGGAUGUUGGCUUAGAAGCAGCCAUCAUUUAAAGAAAGCGUAAUAGCUCACUGGUCGAGUCGGCCUGCGCGGAAGAUGUAACGGGGCUAAACCAUGCACCGAAGCUGCGGCAGCGACACUAUGUGUUGUUGGGUAGGGGAGCGUUCUGUAAGCCUGUGAAGGUGGCCUGUGAGGGUUGCUGGAGGUAUCAGAAGUGCGAAUGCUGACAUAAGUAACGAUAAAGCGGGUGAAAAGCCCGCUCGCCGGAAGACCAAGGGUUCCUGUCCAACGUUAAUCGGGGCAGGGUGAGUCGACCCCUAAGGCGAGGCCGAAAGGCGUAGUCGAUGGGAAACAGGUUAAUAUUCCUGUACUUGGUGUUACUGCGAAGGGGGGACGGAGAAGGCUAUGUUGGCCGGGCGACGGUUGUCCCGGUUUAAGCGUGUAGGCUGGUUUUCCAGGCAAAUCCGGAAAACCAAGGCUGAGGCGUGAUGACGAGGCACUACGGUGCUGAAGUGACAAAUGCCCUGCUUCCAGGAAAAGCCUCUAAGCAUCAGGUAACAUCAAAUCGUACCCCAAACCGACACAGGUGGUCAGGUAGAGAAUACCAAGGCGCUUGAGAGAACUCGGGUGAAGGAACUAGGCAAAAUGGUGCCGUAACUUCGGGAGAAGGCACGCUGAUAUGUAGGUGAAGCGACUUGCUCGUGGAGCUGAAAUCAGUCGAAGAUACCAGCUGGCUGCAACUGUUUAUUAAAAACACAGCACUGUGCAAACACGAAAGUGGACGUAUACGGUGUGACGCCUGCCCGGUGCCGGAAGGUUAAUUGAUGGGGUUAGCGGUAACGCGAAGCUCUUGAUCGAAGCCCCGGUAAACGGCGGCCGUAACUAUAACGGUCCUAAGGUAGCGAAAUUCCUUGUCGGGUAAGUUCCGACCUGCACGAAUGGCGUAAUGAUGGCCAGGCUGUCUCCACCCGAGACUCAGUGAAAUUGAACUCGCUGUGAAGAUGCAGUGUACCCGCGGCAAGACGGAAAGACCCCGUGAACCUUUACUAUAGCUUGACACUGAACAUUGAGCCUUGAUGUGUAGGAUAGGUGGGAGGCUUUGAAGUGUGGACGCCAGUCUGCAUGGAGCCGACCUUGAAAUACCACCCUUUAAUGUUUGAUGUUCUAACGUUGGCCCCUAAUCGGGGUUGCGGACAGUGUCUGGUGGGUAGUUUGACUGGGGCGGUCUCCUCCUAAAGAGUAACGGAGGAGCACGAAGGUUGGCUAAUCCUGGUCGGACAUCAGGAGGUUAGUGCAAUGGCAUAAGCCAGCUUGACUGCGAGCGUGACGGCGCGAGCAGGUGCGAAAGCAGGUCAUAGUGAUCCGGUGGUUCUGAAUGGAAGGGCCAUCGCUCAACGGAUAAAAGGUACUCCGGGGAUAACAGGCUGAUACCGCCCAAGAGUUCAUAUCGACGGCGGUGUUUGGCACCUCGAUGUCGGCUCAUCACAUCCUGGGGCUGAAGUAGGUCCCAAGGGUAUGGCUGUUCGCCAUUUAAAGUGGUACGCGAGCUGGGUUUAGAACGUCGUGAGACAGUUCGGUCCCUAUCUGCCGUGGGCGCUGGAGAACUGAGGGGGGCUGCUCCUAGUACGAGAGGACCGGAGUGGACGCAUCACUGGUGUUCGGGUUGUCAUGCCAAUGGCACUGCCCGGUAGCUAAAUGCGGAAGAGAUAAGUGCUGAAAGC
rnacentral:rRNA from 1 species